CAGCAGCCACGGUAAUACGUAGGUGGCAAGCGUUAUCCGGAAUUAUUGGGCGUAAAGCGCGCGUAGGCGGUUUUUUAAGACUGAUGUGAAAGCCCACGGCUCAACCGUGGAGGGUCAUUGGAAACUGGAAAACUUGAGUGCAGAAGAGGAAAGUGGAAUUCCAUGUGUAGCGGUGAAAUGCGCAGAGAUAUGGAGGAACACCAGUGGCGAAGGCGACUUUCUGGUCUGUAACUGACGCUGAUGUGCGAAAGCGUGGGGAUCAAACAGGAUUAGAUACCCCCGUAGUCCCUGUCUCUUAUAA
rnacentral:rRNA from 1 species